rnacentral:lncRNA from 1 species
CACAAUAUAAAUUUAAAUUCUUAACACUUAUAUAAUACUUUAUUUCUGCAAUCAUAUGGUAUCUAAAUGGUCAAAUGUGAUUACCUGUGUAAUCGGAUUCACACCGCGUAAGUCUAAGGGUAAAAUCCUCCCUACCGAGAAGUUAAUUUAAAAUACUUGAUUAAAGAUAAUAAACAGAUUAGAUUUUAUUACUAAAAAAAAUUAAGAAAUCAAUUCCUAUAAAAGAUAAACAAAUUUUCUCCCUUUGUGCUACUAUCACUGUUUCUGGUCGAAUAUCAUUUUGUUUCGGCGGGACGAGGCUUGAGCGUAACGGAUUUAAAAUCACCUGCUAAACCAUUCUCCCGGAGGCGGAGAGACGCACCUUUCCACCGGCGUCCGACGCUGCCGCUGUUCGAUUUCUCUAUCUUCUCAAGGUAUACAAUCCUAACUCAGCACUAUUUCAUUCCUUUUGAUUUAGACAGUUUUCUUAGUCGAGUUAUCUCCUCUAUUAACCCCAAAAAAGAAU